rnacentral:sRNA from 1 species
CAUUCAUUUAUUUCUUCAACAAACAGGCCAGGCUCAGCACUUUGGAAGCAGCAGGAACCAAAAAAGAUCUCAUCCCUAACCCCCCAGAACUUAUAUUCCAGAUGGGAAAACCAGUAGCAAAGAUGCGGCCAAAUAAACAAGGAAAUAAUUCCAGAAAGUGACAGUUAUCAUGAAAAAAAAUACGUUGUUGUGUUGGAAUAUGUCUGCGUAGAAAAGGUGGCUGGGGAGGGCCUCUCGGAGGGGCUGACUUUUGAGCAGUCUCAGAUGACCAAAUGGAGCCGCCUUGGGAGGUUUUCCAGGCCACAUGGGACCAGCAAGUGUAAAGGCCCUGGGGGGACUGAGCCUGCUGAUUUUUGAAGGUCAGGCACCAGGCCACUGGAGGCGUGUGGGGGCCCUGGGAGGCUUCUGGGGGCGGGGAGGUGACAUGGCCGGACUCAGGUUUCCAUAGGGUCCCUCUGGCUGCCGUGAAGCGAGCAGGGGAUGAUAGGUCCAGGCAGAGGUGAUGGUGGCUGGCCCUGCAUGGGGUCGGGGGCAGUGGUCGGAUUGCAGGUAGGUUUUGGAGGCAGAGCUGCCUGGCUUUGCUGAUGGCUUAGGUAGAAAGCUUGGGAGGCCAGGCGCAGUGGCUCAUACUUGUAAUCCUGGCACUUUGGGAGCCUGAGGCGGGCGGAUCACUGGAGGUCCCCCAGCUCUACUAAAAAUACAGAAAUUAGCUGAGCGUGUUGUAGAGGGGCGUACCUAUAAUCCCAGCUACUCAAGAGGCUGAGGCAGGAGAAUCAAUCACUUGAACCCAGGAGGCAGAGCUUGCAGUGAGCCAAGAUCAUGCCACUGCACUCUAGCCUGGGCGACAGAGCGAGGCUCCAUCUCAAAAAACAAAAACAAGAAAAGGUCAUGGGAGAAAGCGCGAGGCUCUGGCUCCUGGCUUUGGAGUGGGUGCUGGGCGGCCCCUGCGGUGCUGGGAGAGUGAGCAGUGGGCGGGGCUGUGGCACUACUUGGGAUCCUUCGUGAAAGUUUGCACAGGUGUGGGCCCGAAGCGGACAGGUUGGGGUGUAUUUUGGACUCAGAUGCCUGGUUUGGGGCUUAAGCAGCUCACGUUUGGUCCCAUUCACUCCCAGGCAGUACAGGGUGGAGACUGGGGUGAAGCAAGGGAGCGGGAGAGGGAAUGACUGAGUGGGUGCAGCUGUGGCUGUAGUGGGGAAUCUCACCCCUCCUUGCCUACCCUCUGCAGGCUUCACCAUCAUCAUCGAGCCCUUUGACGACAGAACCCCGACCAUUGCCAACCCCAUCCUGCACUUCAGGUGGGACCCUGCCUGGUGAGGGUGUGAAUGCACUGUGGGUCGGGGACCCAGCCCCCCGGGCCCUCACCGCCCUCAUCUCUCUCCAGCUGCAUGGAUGCCUCGCUGGCCAUCAAACCUGUAUUCGAGCGUUUCCAGUCUGUCAUCAUCACAUCUGGGACACUGUCCCCGCUGGACAUCUACCCCAAGAUCCUGGACUUCCACCCCGUCACCAUGGCAACCUUCACCAUGACGCUGGCACGGGUCUGCCUCUGCCCUAUGAUCAUCGGCCGUGGCAAUGACCAGGUGGCCAUCAGCUCCAAAUUUGAGACCCGGGAGGAUAUUGCUGUGAUCCGGAACUACGGGAACCUCCUGCUGGAGAUGUCUGCUGUGGUCCCUGAUGGCAUCGUGGCCUUCUUCACCAGCUACCAGUACAUGGAGAGCACCGUGGCCUCCUGGUAUGAGCAGGGGAUCCUUGAGAACAUCCAGAGGAACAAGCUGCUCUUUAUUGAAACCCAGGAUGGUGCCGAAACCAGUGUCGCCCUGGAGAAGUACCAGGAGGCCUGCGAGAAUGGCCGCGGGGCCAUCCUGCUGUCAGUGGCCCGGGGCAAAGUGUCCGAGGGAAUCGACUUUGUGCACCACUACGGGCGGGCCGUCAUCAUGUUUGGUGUCCCCUACGUCUACACACAGAGCCGCAUUCUCAAGGCGCGGCUGGAAUACCUGCGGGACCAGUUCCAGAUUCGUGAGAACGACUUUCUUACCUUUGAUGCCAUGCGCCAUGCGGCCCAGUGUGUGGGUCGGGCCAUCAGGGGCAAGACGGACUACGGCCUCAUGGUCUUUGCCGACAAGCGGUUUGCCCGUGGGGACAAGAGGGGGAAGCUGCCCCGCUGGAUCCAGGAGCACCUCACAGAUGCCAACCUCAAUCUGACCGUGGACGAGGGUGUCCAGGUGGCCAAGUACUUCCUGCGGCAGAUGGCACAGCCCUUCCACCGGGAGGAUCAGCUGGGCCUGUCCCUGCUCAGCCUGGAACAGCUAGAAUCAGAGGAGACGCUGCAGAGGAUAGAGCAGAUUGCUCAGCAGCUCUGAGUGGGGCGGGUGGGGCCAUAAACAGUUCCUGGUG